UCCACGCGCAUGAGCAGGAUGAAUAGAGAAGCCUCUGACUGCAGUGUGCAGUUCCGGGCCGUGCUCAAUGUGGGCGUUUAACCCGAACCCUUCACGUCUCUUUCAAGAUCACCCAAGGUAAACUUUGAAGGCUUCAACGUCAGCAAAUCUUAAUCGAACCUAACCUACAUGGAUAAAAAUACCAACCAUGGAAAAAUAUUGCUCAGAUCUUGGACCUUGGAGAACUUUUUGGUGUGGAUGAUCAGGGUCUACCAAAGCAAGGUUUCUCAAACAACUGUGGGGUGUUUGUUUUGAUGUAUGCUCUGUACAUUGCAAUGGAAGCACAGUGUGAUUUCACUGAGGAAAACAUGCAGCAAAUUAUGCGACGGUGGUGCCUUGUUCUGCAGAACCUUCCCAUGCCGUCUGAAGAAGAGAGGUUGAAAGAUUGAAAAAGGUGGCGAAAACAAAAAACCAUUACAGGUUGAUGUAGAAGAUGCCCCCCCCAAGCAUGUCACAUCAGCAUCCAGCUCUACAGGAUCAGGAAGCAGAUGUUCUUCUAAGGGGCACCCUAGAGGCAGCAAGGUGGUGUGAACUCAACAUAUAAAGGCAUUGUUUCCUUCCAUAGUGUAAUUGGGAUGGACGGGGAAGACCGCAUUUACAACCCUUAAAGAACUACGGUUGUAUGAUGGCCAGGAUGAAGAGGAAAAUAAUCUCCUCAAGGAACCAUUCAUGUUACAGAGAGAUUAUGAGAUGUUCUAUGUGGAGGCAGUUGACAACAAGAAUUACUGUCUUUGCCUCUUGAGGAGUAGGAGUGAAGCCAUUUUUGAGGAGUGGUCAAACCUUGUUUUUGUCUGCUGUUUUAAUUGUGUUAUGUGGUUUUGUAAAGAUGACGUAGAAGUCACCUGAGUCUCUGAUCUCUUUACUGGAGCUGGUAUAACUUAAUGUACAAAGCACAUUCAGCUUGUCAAUAUGUCUAUAUGGUAUAGUCUGUCUCCAUUCUCAUGAGGAAAGUAAAUAGCAUCAGGAUAGGUAGUGUGUGUGUUCAAUGAAAUAAUAUAAUUACAAAGUUAUAACACUUAUCAACGCAAUUUUAACAGUAUAUGACAUAACAAGUCUGUUCACUGCAACAAUAUCAGUAGCUUGUCUCAAAUAUAGCAUGAAGCAAAAGGUGUUACAACACAUCUGGUGGUACCACUUUAAAUAAUAUUUCUUAAGAUCUUUAAAAAUGAAUUACGUUUGUAUUGAACGUGUGCCUUGUGCAAACGUGUGUGUUUGUAUUCAGUGUGACUGCCAAACUUCAAAUGGACAAAAAAACGUGGGUGGGGUCAAACUUUUGACUCCGCCCGUAUGGGGCAGCAGGGAAGCCUAGUGGUUAGAGUGUUGGACCGGAAGGUUGCAAGUUCAAAUCCCCGAGCUGACAAUGUACAAAUCUGUCGUUCUGUCCCUGAACAGGCAGUUAACCCACUGUUCCUAGGCCGUCAUUGAAAAUAAGAAUUUGUUCUUAACUGACUUGCCUAGUUAAAUAAAGGUAAAAUUACAAAAAAUGGAGCCGGGCCUCUGAUUUGCACACUGCAGUCAGGGGUACUCCCGAGAAAUAUGCGCAGCUCGUAUGCUGCGUUCACAACCAAGUGAGAGGUGGUAUUUACCACAAACGCCUGGGAAAAUACACGAUGCGCAUCCAACUCGUAAUUAAUAGUGGGGAAACUCGUCUAUCAUGCCACGUUCAAAACAACUGGGAACUCGGAAAUCUCUGACUUCCGACUUUAGUGAGUUCAAAACAACUGGGAACUCUGGGGGACAAAUUAGCUCCGGCUGGGAGAGAUCAAUUUGAACGGUCACCCAACUCGGGGAAAUCGGGCCU